ACGGCUCAGUAACACGUGGAUAACCUGCCCAAGGGUCUGGGAUAACCCCGGGAAACUGGGGAUAAUACCGGAUGGAUCACUAGUGCUGGAAUGCUUGGUGGUCGAAAGGCAACGCCUUUGGAUGGGUCUGCGGCGGAUUAGGUUGACGCCGGUGUAACGUACCGGCGUGCCUGUAAUCCGUACGGGUUGUGGGAGCAAGAGCCCGGAGAUGGAUUCUGAGACACGAAUCCAGGCCCUACGGGGCGCAGCAGGCGCGAAAACUCUACAAUGCAGGCAACUGCGAUAGGGGGACAUCGAGUGGCAUCCACCUUGGGUGCCUGUCCAACCGUCUAAAAAACGGUUGUUAGCAAGGGCCGGGUAAGACCGGUGCCAGCCGCCGCGGUAAUACCGGCGGCUCGAGUGGUGGCCGAUAUUAUUGAGUCUAAAGGGUCCGUAGCCGGCUUUGCAAGUCCCCUGGGAAAUCCAGCGGCUUAACCGUUGGGCUUUCAUGGGAUACUACAUUGCUUGGGACUGGGAGAGGUAGGAGGUACUCGGGGGGUAGGGGUGAAAUCCCGUAAUCCUCCGGGGACCACCGGUGGCGAAGGCGUCCUACCAGAACAGGUCCGACGGUGAGGGACGAAAGCUAGGGGCACGAACCGGAUUAGAUACCCGGGUAGUCCUAGCCGUAAACGAUGCCCGCUAGGUGUCACGACGGUCGUGAAUCGUCGUGGUGCCGUAGGGAAGCCGCGAAGCGGGCCACUUGGGAAGUACGGCCGCAAGGCUGAAACUUAAAGGAAUUGGCGGGGGAGCAC
rnacentral:rRNA from 1 species